rnacentral:rRNA from 1 species
CUGGCGGCAUGCCUAACACAUGCAAGUCGAACGGAAGUAGAAAUACUUAGUGGCGAACGGGUGAGUAACACGUGAGCAACCUGCCUUAUACACAGGGAUAACAGUUGGAAACGACUGCUAAUACCGGAUAAGACCACACUAUGGCAUCAUAGAGAGGUCAAAGCGAAUAAGCGGUAUAAGAUGGGCUCGCGUCCAAUUAGCUAGUUGGUGAGGUAACGGCCCACCAAGGCGACGAUUGGUAGCCGACUUGAGAGAGUGAUCGGCCACACUGGAACUGAGACACGGUCCAGACUCCUACGGGAGGCAGCAGUGGGGAAUAUUGGGCAAUGGAGGAAACUCUUACCCAGCCAAUGCCGCGUGAGUGAUGAAGGUCUUUGGAUUGUAAAGCUCUUUGAUUGGGGACGAAUAAAUGACGGUACCCAAAGAACAAGCCCCGGCUAACUAUGUGCCAGCAGCGGC